rnacentral:rRNA from 1 species
GGGAAACCGAGGUUAAUACCGGAUACUCCAUAUUUGUCGCAUGGCGAAUAUGGGAAAGCUCCGGCGGCAAAGGAUGGGCCCGCGGCCUGUUAGCUAGUUGGUGGGGUAGUGGCCUACCAAGGCAAUGAUGGGUAGCCGGGUUGAGAGACCGACCGGCCAGAUUGGGACUGAGACACGGCCCAGACUCCUACGGGAGGCAGCAGAA